UACAGAGGGGGCAAGCGUUGUUCGGAAUUACUGGGCGUAAAGGGCGCGUAGGCGGCCGCCUAAGUCAGACGUGAAAUCCCCAGGCUCAACCUGGGAACUGCGUCUGAUACUGGAUGGCUUGAAUCCGGGAGAGGGAUGCAGAAUUCCAGGUGUAGCGGUGAAAUGCGUAGAUAUCUGGAGGAAUACCGGUGGCGAAGGCGGCAUCCUGGACCGGCAUUGACGCUGAGGCGCGAAAGCUAGGGGAGCAAACGGG
rnacentral:rRNA from 1 species